AUUCAUCAGGACUAACGAGGAGCCCUUCUCUUUGGGGAGUGGCUGAGCUGUUUAUAAAUCACCACUUUGAGCACCUGCCCGGGCAAGGCGUCUUGGCUGAGAAUUUCCACGUGUCCUGUGUUUAUGAUCGUGUGUGGGGGAGGGAAAAAUGGUUAGGGGAGGGGCAAGCCCACGGACAGCCAGCGGGACGGGCCUGCACCCCCCACGCGCGCACCCGCGCUGCGAGACUGAGACACACUCACCGUGGCGCUGUGUCCCAGUGCGAGCGCCCAGCUGCUCUAGCCGCGCGCCUGGGGGCUGCUACGAAUUCAGUUAACUUUGCUUGGCCAGGAAAAAAAUUUAAAAGUCCGAGGCUCAGAGCUCGCAGCCGCAGCGGCUGGUGCCCUCGUCCGCUGGAUAGAGAGCAGAGGGGAUUAGAAGCGGAGGAGGCAAUGUCCUCCGGGCUUCAGCCCUGAAUAUUCUCCUCCUGUUGAGGACACAGGCAGCUUGCCAGCUGCGUCCCUCCUGGCCCGCGGUGAUUUUCUUUUUCCGUCCUCCCGGGAGCUCAGAGCUCCUCCGGUGGGAAGAAUCCAGCUGUGGAAAAGGGCUGCCCCGGGGUACUAAGCAACUCGCUCCCAACUCUGCGCGCCUUUCGGGACAGGUGUCUGUUUUUCCUCUAGAUUUAGAGAAGACUCUCUACAGCCUGUACGCUGAUACCCUUGAACAGGAGUGAAGUUUUGAGAUACAUUUCCGAGGGAACUCAGGAUGCCUGGCUUUGAGUAAUUUACAAGUCCCUCCUCCCGGCCCUCCCCCCAUCCUCGCACCCCUCCCCCAUCUACCCUUCCUUGCAAAGGGAGCCGGUGUGUGGGUGGUGGUGGUGGGGAGGCAGAAAUGCACGUAUACAUCAAAACUUCCUGUCCGCGAUGGGACUGAGCUGGCGAUUAAAACUCGGAGAUCCUUCCCACUUUGACGUGCCAGGUCUCCACUCCACCCCUCAGCCCCGCCUCAUUUCGCCGGCGGUAGAAAGAGUCCAUCGGUUCCCAACUGGAUGAGUCUGAAUAUGCCCAAUAAAUGCCCAGUAGCGUACAAAGCGAUGCCCUACCCACCGGCCUCAGUCUCGGCAUACCCUCCACCCCCACCCCUGAAGCAAGACCAAUCUUGGGGCAGGCAGGGCUGGGUACCGCCUCCCCCGCCCCGCCCGCAGCCACCUCCGCGUCUGCGCCAAUCGCAGGGGGCCCGGGUGGCGCGAACGCUGGGUCCUGAGCAGCCUCAGCUUCCGGGUCUGCCUCUCAGCUGGGGCCUCACUAGGGCUCCAGGAACCUAGGCUCUCGGAGGUGGUUUGCUGCAGACUCCGGCCUCUCCACAACCGCCACCAGCUCUCCCCAGGUCGCGGGCGCCAUUCUUCGGGCCGGCCCUGCGAGGGCAGAGUCCGCCUGUUAGUCCGCUUUUCUCUGCCCGCAGAAAAGCACGUUGAAGUUGUCUAGGGUAGAUUCCUCCAGGUUUUGAUUUAGCUCAUUCUUUUUCACUGUUCAAAGCAGCUGUUCAAAUAUAGAAUCUGCAUACGUUGACGCUGAGAGGAUUUCAAACAACCUUAAAAUGCUUUGAACUGACAAGGUGUCUUGCUAUCUCUCUCGUUCCAGCACAGCUCCUGGAGUUCACUCCAUAGGACAAUGGCUGAACCUGCAGUUCUUGCGGGCCUCUCUCGCACUGACACGUCCCUGGGUCCCUUCCUCUGGGGGGCUGUAGGCACCCUGUGAGGAAAUCUGGUAUUGGUGCUAGCAUGGGUUCUUCUAUAGCUGGAGGAAGGACUCCACUCAGUCACAGUCCUGUGCUGAACUGGUAUAAAGUGGUGCUAGUCCCUCCUGUCCAGGUUCGAAGCUCAGAAAGGGAAAAAACCCAGCGGAAUCAACAACACGGAAAAGACACCCACAGACACUCAUAUUCACCCCUCCAGCUCUAAAGGUCUUUGAGAUACUGAACCUGGCAGGUUCUUGGCAGCAACCACCAUUUUGACCCAAGUGCCUCCGAAUCACUUGAGUAACAAUUAUGGCUUCAGUCCACCCACUGUAACUUUAACUUGUUAACUUGUUUAUCCAGCAAACACACUGGUAUCAUAUGUAAAAUAUAGUUUAUGUAUAUUUAUAUACCCGGAGUUGACAGAAAAAUAAUCACCUAACCUUAACCUGGAAACAAAAGUAUUAAAGCAGGAGUGAGUUGGCAUUCGUUUGGUAGAUCUUUAUUUUUUCUUUUUUAUGUAGUCUUGGGAUAAUAGAAAUAAGAGAAUGACAGAAAACAAAGAAUUUUCCUGGGAGAUGGCCAUCUGAAGAGUGCAAGUAACAACUGGUUUAAAUGAGUAAAAUUGCCCAUUGAUUUUUAAAAUCUAUCCAUUGUGAGAAAGGAUUUUUAGUCCCCUCCUCCUCCUCUUCCUCCUCCUCCUUCUCUUUUACCUUACACCUCCUUUUCAGCCUUGUUCCAGUCAUUCAUUCUUAUUAUGCUUUUUGUUCUCCUGCUAGCCCCAGCAGCUGUUUGAUUUGGUGGAGACCCACUGGCAUCUGAAUGCAGGUGGAUAGUGGCCACCAGGAGUGGAUGACAACUCUUUGAUGGAUUAGUGAUUUCAGCAGAAACCUUCUUAGCUCUAAAACAUUGGAAAUGUACUGAGAUGGAGCCCUUGCAGCAUCUCCUUUCUUCUUUCAUCAUCCGGAGCAGACUGAGAAGCUGAAAGCAAGGGUAGCAGGACACACGUUACCAGAAAGUGGGUCCUGGGAAUGAAAAGACUGGAACGCUGGAAAAAGAUGCAGAAAGAGAAGCCUCAGACAUAUUGAAGCAGUGAGAUCCCCUUGCUUCGCUUGUCUUUUCUUAGAGUUUUCGAUGAUAAUCUAGGGCAGCCGGGUUCCAGCAUUAAAUGCAAAAUAAGAAAACAGGACACGGCAGAGUCACAGGCCUGAUCAUAUUAACGCCCUAGGUCAAAGAGAGAGAAUAAUGAAUAGGCGCCGAGCUCAGUUCGUGGAAGGGAACUUAAUUAACCUUGAGAGAGUGAAAGAAAGUCAGAGAUCACGCCUAGGACCUCAGUCUAGGGUGCUUAUUUACGUCUGGGGGGGGUGCGCCCGAAGCUGGGUGGGAGGUAAAGUCUGCUUUAUGCAUUAUUCUAAUAUAUUUUUCUAACUCCGAUAAAAGCUUGAGUUUGUGCUCCUCAGGGCUCUCCAACCACCCCCAAUUCCGAGGAGAUCUCAGCUGUCAGAGCCCUAGAGGUCGUGGGGAGAUCCAGUGUCCCGGCUCCGUCUGCACGCGGGAUUAGCUAGAGUAGGAAGAAGGGUCUGCGGGGUCCCAAAGUCCCCGCGGACCUCUAGUGAGGCUGC